GAGGCUAACCUGAUUUCAGACUUCUGAAUCACCGCACACAUCUCGAAAUUUUGGUGUUAUACCCACACCACUGGUUGGAUUAGCAGACGACCAAUCAGAGCUGGUUGGCAGAAUUAAAUAUGGGGCGUCAUCUUUUUACAUAGCUAGCUAGCUAGCUAGUAGUUAAGAAAUGUCCACAAGCGUGGAUGAGGUCGAUGCAGCAGUACAAGUUGUAAAUCAACUUACCGAGAAAAAAAAAAAAAAAAAAAACUCUUUAAUUUGAAUGAUGGGAAACAAUGUCAAUUAAUGUCUGAUUAUCAGGCUUGGACUAACCAUUUAUUUUUGUUUUGAAGUGAUUUUCUUAUCCGACAAGUUUGAAAGGCAACAAGCACAUUACUCAAAAGGUCGGACUGUUCUUUUAACUACUGACAUCACACUCUUUGAAAUUAGCAGCUGCAUCCUCUCUUGUCUUCGGAAAUCCAAAUAACUUUGUUAUCUCUUUUGUAAUUAAUCAAAAGAAUCAAACACUGGCGAUCAUCUUGCCACACACGUGGACAAGGUGAACUUUUCUACAUUUCUCAUUAAAAUGGAUGCAUGGGGGUUAACACUAUCUGGAUCAUUGAACAUUAAUCUGAUAUAGUGGGUGAUAAAAGUACGUACGUGCUUAAUAACCGUAAUACAGUACUAUUGAACCUGAAGUGGUAAUUUUUCUGGUAUCGGUCUAAUCCAAGCACACACACACACUCAUGCACCAAGUCCAUUCUCUGGCUGGCUGCGGUCCAAAAUGACACAUUGGGGGAAGCAGCAGAAGGCAGGCCUGGCCCAGACAGCUCUGUCUCUGUCUAUCUGAAUCUGCAGGAGGCGACUCGACAGCUGCUCAAGGUGAACAUCCAAUGAGGCAUGUGCGAAUAUGCAGCCUGAGACUGGGAAAGAGACCUAAAGACAGACAGAGAGAAGGGCAGAUGAGGGAAUAAAAUUGGAAGUGACAGAUACACACAGAGAAAAAGAGAAGAUCAUUACACCCAGUAAGGAGUUUGGAGUUUAACAGCUCCUUUGAAUGUUAACAGAGGUGUUAGUAAGUUGUGGAAAAAUCUAGAAACAAAGUGAGUCCAAAUUUGAACGUUAGGGUUUAUCAUUGAAGCAAAUAUUAAAGGAAUAUUGACAUAAAUGUAAUUGGAAACAAUAAGCAGUUAAAAUAAAAACUAAAAAUUGCAAAUACCAGUCAUAAAAUGUAGCACAAUGGCCAAAUACCCUCUAAUCAAUUGUUGCUUAACUUUGUACCCAUGCAGGUUUGGCAGGCCAUCAUUUCUACGUUUUAGUAAAUUAACACCCCUGGAUUUUUUUCAAACAUAUGCUUGCUUGCCUAGUACAAUCUCACCAAAGCAAGAUUAUUUCUCUUGUAUGGAUGUUUUAGGCCCUCAGUACUUAUAAAACUAUAAGACUUAAGAAAUGUUAACAUAAUAAAUAAUCUAGUAGUGCAAUUUGUCCCACUAUAACACCAUGAGUUUCUCAUUAACCCCGGCCUUAAACCAAAUUCUUGCUUAUCUAAUCGUCAUGUGCCAACGAAAGACAAACAAAAAAGUCAUCCCAUUCACCCUAGUUUGCACGUUAUUAUGGAUUCCACGCAACUUCUAGGCAAGUCCCGCCCUACGAAGCAGCACGAUUGGUUGGGGUUAGGCAUUGGCCUCGAGUAGUUAAGGUUAGGAUAGCCGACUGGUCAGGGGCUAGGACCUGAACAAAUCGUGUUCUAUUAUCUUGCGUAAGCAUGGACGCCUGGCCAAUAGUAAUGUGUGAAUGCUAUUGAAGGGCAGGUCUUGCCUAGAAGUUGCGUGGGUUCCAUAAUAACGCCUAGUUUGCCUGUACUGUAGAUGAAUGGAUGAAUUGACUGUUGAGAACCUUGAAAACUCACCCUAAGGUCCUACACAUAGUAAAGAAUAGGGCCGUUUACUUAUGGCAUAUAUUUGUACUUGAUGUCGAAGCAAAUAACCAAGAAGCAUGGAUUUACAGCAGAAUAAUGGAGUCAGUGUUUUAUGUACAAUCAUGACGUCUGUGUUUGAGCCAUUUUGAUGUUCAUGGGAUAAAACCUGUUCAUGAGGGCUAGCAUGACUCUGCUAUCGUUCAAACCCAUGGUAUAUAUGCUAUUUCUAUGAAAAUAUAAAUGUCUAAUUAUGUAUUAACACAGAAAAGAAAUAAAAUAUUUUCAAUGCA